CACGGAGUUAGCCGGUGCUUAUUCCUCUGGUACCGUCAACACUCUUAGAAAAAGUGAUUUCGUCCCAGAUAAAAGAAGUUUACAAUCCAGAGGACCUUCAUCCUUCACGCGGCAUGGCUGGUUCAGACUUGCGUCCAUUGACCAAUAUUCCUUACUGCUGCCUCCCGUAGGAGUCGGGCCCGUGUCUCAGUGCCCGUGUGACUGGUCGCGCUCUCACGCCAGUUACUGAUCGUCGGCUUGGUGAGCCGUUACCUCACCAACUACCUAAUCAGGCGCACGCCCAUCUUCAAGCGAAAUUCUUUAAUCAUUGAGUGAUGCCACUCUAUGAUUUUACGAUGUAUUAAUCCGAAUUUCUUCGGGCUAUCCAUCUCUUGAAGGAAGGUUGCGUACGUGUUCCGCACCCGUUUGCCGGUCGCGCCCAGUAUUGCUACCUGCGCUGCCCCUCGACUUGCAUGUAUUAGGCCUGCCGCUAGCGUUCAUCCUGAGCCAGGA
rnacentral:rRNA from 1 species